rnacentral:rRNA from 1 species
UACGGAGGGUGCGAGCGUUGUCCGGAAUCAUUGGGCGUAAAGGGCGCGUAGGUGGCGGGCCAAGCGUGCGGUGAAAGCCUGGGGCUCAACCCCAGAAUUGCCUUUAAGACUGCAUCGCUUGAAUCCAGGAGAGGUGAGUGGAAUUCCGAGUGUAGAGGUGAAAUUCGUAGAUAUUCGGAAGAACACCAGUGGCGAAGGCGGCUCACUGGACUGGUAUUGACGCUGAGGUGCGAAAGCGUGGGGAGCAAACAGG